GCCGGGCGUGGUGGCUCAUGCCUGUAAUCCCAGCACUUUGGGAGGCCGAGGCAGGUGGAUCACCUGAGGUCAGGAGUUCAAGACCAGCCUGGCCAACAUGGUGAAACCCUGUCUCUA
rnacentral:SRP_RNA from 1 species